rnacentral:lncRNA from 1 species
UUUUUAAUUUUAUUAGGUUUUUAAUCAGGUUCCAUUAUGAAGUGCUUUAAACAGGGUUAGAAUCUAACCUUUCAGAAAGGCACAAACAGGGAGAAUGCUGCCUGGUCUACCCGGUUUAAGAAAUCAGAGUGGAAGCCUCUGAGAAUGGAGAGGGUUUUGCUCAGUCCUUUGGAGAAAGCCUUGGGGAGAGGGUUUUGCUCAGUCCUUUGGAGAAAGCCUUGGGGACUUCCAUCUUCAGCUUUGUCCCUUUCCUCUGGCUCCUCAGCAGCAUGGAGCAGUGGCUCAGGGCACACACUCUGGGGCCUGACUGCCUGGGUUUGAAUAGUGGUGCCACCAAUGACGAACAGUAUGGACGGUGUGGUCUUGGUACUUACCCGACGGGGGGGUACGUGAACUGCCCAUUAUGAGGAAAUGGAGGUACCAAGCAAAUGGCUACACAAAGUGCUCAGAGCAGCGCCUGCCACACUGUUUCUACUCUCUAAGUGCUUGCUGACCAUUAUGAUGCCACUGAAAGGAAACAAAGACCAGGGCUCCAAUGAGCAAGAGAGAGUGAGCUUGACUCUGAAGGCCACUCACUGCUCAGGAGGGGCUCAUCCAGUCAUUGGACAAACAUAUUGAACUAUUUUAUGCCAGACACUGAGCUAGGUUGGGGUGCAGUAGUGAAUGAGUGUCCGUGCCCUCAAGGAGCAUAUGGCCAGUGGGGAAGACACACAUUUAGCACAGAUUCCCACUAAUGAAUGCAUAAUGGCAAAAUGAGAUGAACGCUCUGAAGGUGCAGAACUCAGCUUGCUCAGUGCACCUAACAUUACCUGAUGUGACUUUCUAGGUCAGGGGAGUUGGCUGGCAGGAAGCUGUGCUCUGUCUGAAACCUAGAGGACAGCCUUUGCCAGUCUUCAUGUCCCCUGGGGUCACGGUUGGAUAUAGUGGCUCCAAAGAGCCUUGGACCUUGGACACAAGCUUAUCUGUGCGUUGGUGCUUCUCUGGGAAGGAGGUCUAUUGCCUUCAACAAAAUCCUCAAAGGGAAACACAACCUUCCACAGCUUGUGGAUCUCUGCCCUGGGAGAUGUCAUGGUAACCAAAUAUUUUUAAGGAACCACACAAAAUGAAGGAAAACCUUGCUUUAAAGGGACCCAAUACCUGAAAGCCUCUAUUUAUACAAAAACCACCUAAGGAGUGACUUCUUCAAGCGAUCUAGGAUUCUAUCAAAAGAGCGAGUUUC